GAUGGUGAAAACGGGCUGCAGCAGGAACCUCGGAGCCGUGAAGGGGUGAGCAGACCCUGGAGGAGCAAAUGAUGCAUAUCAGAAACUGCAGCUGUAGCAGUGUGUCGCAGCAGGCAGGCAAUUUAGGGGUUGUGGUGUAGUAAAUAAGCCAGAGCAGUGGCGGGGCUGGGCAGUGGCAGCCUGGCUCCUAAACAGGGCCUCGAGAGGCUCCCUUGGGGGGGCACAGGGUCCCAGGUUUUCCUCUGAGGCACACGAGGGGAUGGUGAGGGUCCUUUCUAGUGAGGCAGGGCGUUAAUAAGGUCCCAGUGCAACAGCUGAUACUGCAAGCAGAGCUUCACUCACAGUAGGAGAAGGCAGCAGAAAACAGAACCUCACAAUGGUGGCAAGUUCUCCCCACAGCAACUGUAGCCUGUCUGCCCUCCAGUGUCAAGAACCAGAGCGGGAGAGGACCUGAGCCCAGCCCCUUACCCCUGCCCUGGCCAAAAUCUGACAUAUCCAAGGAGAAAAGCCCCCAGCAACAGAUGGGACAAAAUUCCACGAGAGAAGCAAGAGGAAAAAUUCCAGCCCCCAACACUGGGGCUGGAAGUCCAUUCAGAAACCAGUUUCUGCCCAGAUCUCUCUUGUAGGCUGCACCCCUGAAGUCCCUGGCCCAGGUAGCUCUGAGUCUCAAGGGAAACAGACACGGUUGAAAGAGCUGAGGCCCAGAGCAGGGCACUCCUCGUGAAGCCCUUCAAACACAG